AUGAGUGCUAAGUGUUAGGGGGUUUCCGCCCCUUAGUGCUGCAGCUAACGCAUUAAGCACUCCGCCUGGGGAGUACGGUCGCAAGACUGAAACUCAAAGGAAUUGACGGGGGCCCGCACAAGCGGUGGAGCAUGUGGUUUAAUUCGAAGCAACGCGAAGAACCUUACCAGGUCUUGACAUCCUCUGACAACCCUAGAGAUAGGGCUUUCCCUUCGGGGA
rnacentral:rRNA from 1 species